CCUACGGGAUGCAGCAGUAGGGAAUUUUCCGCAAUGGGGGAAACCCUGAUGCGGCACCGCCGCGUGAGUGAUGACGGCCUUCUGGUUGUAACGCUCUGUCUUCAGGGACGAUAAUGGCGGUAGCUAAGGACUACUCCACGGCUAACUCCGUUCCCGCAGCCGCGGUCAUCCGUAGGUGGCGAGCGUUGGCCGGAUUUACUGGGCGGAAAGGAAGCGGAGGCGGACAGUUAAGUGAUGUGUGAAAUACUCGGGCUCAACUUGAGGGCUGCAUUUGAAACUGGAAGUCUAGAGUGCAGGAGAGGAGAAUGGAAUUCCUAGUGUAGCGGUGAAAUGCGUAGAGAUUAGGAAGAACACCAGUGGCGAAGGCGACUCUCUGGACUGUAACUGACGCUGAGGCCCGAAAGCGUGGGGAGCAAAUAGGAUUAGAUACCCCUGUAGUC
rnacentral:rRNA from 1 species